rnacentral:rRNA from 1 species
UGGGGAAUAUUGCACAAUGGGCGAAAGCCUGAUGCAGCAACGCCGCGUGAGUGAUGAAGGCCUUCGGGUUGUAAAGCUCUGUCUUUUGGGACGAUAAUGACGGUCAACGAAGGAGGACGCACGGCUAACUACGUGCCAGCAGCCGCGGUAAUACGUAGGUGGCAAGCGUUGUCCGGAUUUACUGGGCGUAAAGGAUGCGUAGGCGGAUUUUUAAGUGAGAUGUGAAAACCCUAAGCUUAACUUGGGGACUGCAUUUCAUACUGGAAAUCUAGAGUGCGGGAGAGGAGAAUGGAAUUCCUAGUGUAGCGGUGAAAUGCGUAGAGAUUAGGAAGAACACCAGUGGCGAAGGCGAUUCUCUGGACCGUAACUGACGCUGAGGCAUGAAAGCGUGGGUAGCAAACAGGAUUAGAUACCCUGGUAGUCCACGCCGUAAACGAUGAGUACUAGGUGUAGGAGGUAUCGACCCCUUCUGUGCCGCAGUUAACACAAUAAGUACUCCGCCUGGGAAGUACGAUCGCAAGAUUAAAGCUCAAAUGAAUUGAC